rnacentral:rRNA from 1 species
AACGAACGCUGGCGGCAUGCCUAACACAUGCAAGUCGAACGAUAAGCCACCUUCGGGUGGUGGACAGUGGCGCACGGGUGAGUAACACGUGGGGACCUGCCUGAUAGUAAGGAAAAACAGUUGGAAACGACUGCUAAUACCUUAUACGCCCUUCGGGGGAAAGAUUUAUCGCUAUCAGAUGGACCCGCGCUAGAUUAGAUAGUUGGUGAGGUAAUGGCUCACCAAGUCUACGAUCUAUAGCUGGUUUGAGAAGAUGAUCAGCCACAUUGGGACUGAGACACGGCCCAG